rnacentral:rRNA from 1 species
UAGUUAUGGAGAGGGUCAACGUCCUUCACGGGACGCCCCUCGUUCACAUUAUGGAUGCAAUGCCUUAACCGGCUAGCGGGUCAGUCCUCUGGGCGCCGCACAUCUUUUUGAAAGUCUUUGACACGCUUGAGUAGAUAAAUUCAUAACGAAAUACAACCAGUAACGUUGGAUCCCUUGGCAUGUCAUUCGAUGAAGACCGUUGCAAAAUGCGAUAAGUGGUGUGAUAUGCAAGUCCAAAACUUAUACGUGAACCAUCGAAUUGUUGAACGCACUGCAUCGAUCCUUACCCAGGAACGAUAUGCCCCAUUGAGCGUCAUUAUGUCUUCGCGACCUCAGCCUUUCAUUAGGAUGUUGUCCGGGUUCGGGACUCACGGCCUUACACAGGUCGCGCCUCCUUAGAUACAUUACCGUGCAGGAGUAUCACUGGCAUCCUUGUCAUAAAUGUCGAGGUAGCUUAUGGUGUACGCCGGCGCAAGAUCAGGCUCUUUGUUGACCAGAUCAAAGGCGGGGUCCCUCUGGGACUUUGCAACCUCAAUACAUGACCUCACGGGGGCAGGAUGACCCGCUAGACUUAAGCAUAUUAAUCAGCGGAGGAAAAGAAACUAACUAGGAUUCCCCCAGUAACUGCGAGUGAAGAGGGAUGAGCUCAAUGUGUGAAUCAGGCCGGGAUUAGCUCCUUGUUUGAGUUGUGCACUAUAGACGGCGGAUCAGCGCUUGAAAGCUUGUGGUGUAUGUCCGAUGAAACUCGGUGCCAUAGAGGGUCACAGUCCUGUACUUGCCUUAAAGCUUUUGCGCAUUUGACCGACGUUCUGCGAGUCGCGUAGUUUUGUAUUGCUGCGCUAAUUGGGAGGUAGAGCCCUUCUAAAGCUAAAUAUGAUGACAUGACCGAUAGCACACAAGUACCGCGAGGGAAAGGUGAAAAGCAACCAUGCAGAAUGGGUUGAAACAGCAGUGAAAGCGUUACUGGGAUAAGGGUUGGGGAUUGCUUGUGCCAAUUGCGCGUGCUUCAGUGCUGCGCUGCUGGACGGCAUGCAUCGAUGCGGAUGGGGAGAACAGGGCCCUCGGGAAUUCGGCUGGAUCCGUCCAGUGUUGUAGACCUUGGGUCAAUGGAGCCCCUCCUGAUCGUUGAGUGUCUUGCGAUUGUCAACCGCCCGUCUUGAAACACGGACCAAGGAGUGCACCUUGCAUGCGAGUCGAAGGGACUGUAAUCCUGGAGGCGAAGCGAAAGCGAAGGCUGCGAACCCGUAAGGCGUCGGCAGCACCCGCCCUGUGCGAGGUAGAGCAUGCAGGGUGCGACCCGAAAGAUGGUGAACUAUGCCCGGGUAAGGUGAAGCCAGUGGAAACGCUGGUGGAGGCCUGUAGCGGUUCUGACGUGCAGAUCGAUCGUGUAACCUGGGUAUAGGGGCGAAAGACCUAUCGAACCGUCUAAUGGCUGGUUCCCCCCGAAGUUUCCCUCAGGAUAGCUGUGUCCCUAUUGUCAGUUGCACGCGGUAAAGCGAAUGAUUAGGUGUCUCGGGGCUACAUUUGCCUCGGCUCAUUCUCAAACUGUGAAUUGUGUGCGUACCGCGCGUGACCUAAUGGCACGCCGGGCGAAUGACAGGAC